UGUUUAAAGAAAUAAAAUAUAUAAGAAUAUUUGUGAUAAGGCACGUAUCUUUCAUACUUACUCAAGGAGGAAUAAGCGAAGAAAGAUAAUGAUUUGCAUCUUCUCAAAUUCCUGGAGGUUUCACACAUGGUGGAUUGAGCAGCUUGACAGUUCCUUAUGGUUACUGAAAUUAUUUGUCUUUAUCCUAAAUAGUUAUGAAGUAGUUAUAGUAUAUAAGACUACAUCCAGUAAUGUGUAGGCAAGCUAUAGUAUAUCUUUUAUUUGCAGAAAGAUUGUUGUUAUGGGAGACACGAGAUACUUGUCUCUCUUUGUAUUUUAUGUUGCUUGUAUCCAGUAUAAAACUUUGGUUUCUAUCAAUCUGUAUUCUAUA